rnacentral:tRNA from 1 species
CGGGGUGUGGCUCAGCUUGGCUAGAGCGCUUGAUUUGGGAUCAAGAGGUCGCAGGUUCGAAUCCUGUCACCCCGAUCA